CAACCCUCAAGCCUUGCUUGGUAUUGGGCCUUCGUCCCCUGGACGGGUCUGAAAAUCAGUGGCGAUACCCUCCAGUUUCAAGCGUAGUAAAUCUGUCUUCGUCUUGAAUAUUUGGCUGGUGUGUUGGCCAAGUGAAUCCAUAUUUCUUCC
rnacentral:misc_RNA from 1 species